AGUAAUGCUUGGGAAUCUAGCUUAUGGAGGGGGAUAACUACGGGAAACUGUAGCUAAUACCGCGUAGAAUCGAGAGAUGAAAGUGUGGGACCUUCGGGCCACAUGCCAUAGGAUGAGCCCAAGUGGGAUUAGGUAGUUGGUGAGGUAAAGGCUCACCAAGCCGACGAUCUCUAGCUAGUCUGAGAGGAUGACCAGCCACACUGGGACUGAGACACGGCCCAG
rnacentral:rRNA from 1 species